UAGAGUUUGAUCCUGGCUCAGAGCGAACGCUGGCGGCAGGCUUAACACAUGCAAGUCGAACGGGCGUAGCAAUACGUCAGUGGCAGACGGGUGAGUAACACGUGGGAACGUGCCUUUCGGUUCGGAACAACCCAGGGAAACAUGGGCUAAUACCGGAUACGCCCUUACGGGGAAAGAUUUAUCGCCGAAAGAUCGGCCCGCGUCUGAUUAGCUUGUUGGUGAGGUAAUGGCUCACCAAGGCGACGAUCAGUAGCUGGUCUGAGAGGAUGAUCAGCCACACUGGGACUGAGACACGGCCCAGACUCCUACGGGAGGCAGCAGUGGGGAAUAUUGGACAAUGGGGGAAACCCUGAUCCAGCCAUGCCGCGUGAGUGAUGAAGGCCCUAGGGUUGUAAAGCUCUUUUGUGCGGGAAGAUAAUGACGGUACCGCAAGAAUAAGCCCCGGCUAACUUCGUGCCAGCAGCCGCGGUAAUACGAAGGGGGCUAGCGUUGCUCGGAAUCACUGGGCGUAAAGGGUGCGUAGGCGGAUCUUUAAGUCAGAGGUGAAAGCCUGGAGCUCAACUCCAGAACUGCCUUUGAUACUGGGGAUCUUGAGUUCGGGAGAGGUGAGUGGAACUGCGAGUGUAGAGGUGAAAUUCGUAGAUAUUCGCAAGAACACCAGUGGCGAAGCGGCUCACUGGCCCGAUACUGACGCUGAGGCACGAAGCGUGGGGAGCAACAGGAUAGAUACCCUGUAGUCCACCCGUAAACGAUGAAUGCAGCCGUUG
rnacentral:rRNA from 1 species